rnacentral:lncRNA from 1 species
CAUCGUGGGCGUGUGAGGCUUUUGGCCUUAACCUAAGGUGCUAGUUGUUUUGUAGGUGCAAAAUCGUCCAAGAUCGAAGAGGAGAAAAUUUGCAUCCACAAAUUGGUGCUUUCAUUGAGAGUUGAAAUCCAUACUCGUAGAAGACUCUCGCACAAAAAGGUUUUUUCUUUAUUUUCUAGUCCAUUUGAAUAUUUUUCAUAUGUUCUUAUUAUUAGAAUUUUUUACUUGCAAAGGUUCUUUGAUAAAACGUAUAAGCAAAAUAUAAUGGUUAGAAAUUUAGAAAAUUCCACAAGUGAAAAUUCUAAUGUUCAAGAAAUGGGAUUGCGGAGAUCCGUGAGGCUAAAUGCGACAAUAAGUGGAGCAGCACCACCACCACGAGUUUCCACCAUAGGAAC